rnacentral:rRNA from 1 species
CAGCCGCCGCGGGAAUACGUAGGGUGCGAGCGUUAAUCGGAAUUACUGGGCGUAAAGCGUGCGCAGGCGGUUAUAUAAGACAGAUGUGAAAUCCCCGGGCUCAACCUGGGACCUGCAUUUGUGACUGUAUAGCUAGAGUACGGUAGAGGGGGAUGGAAUUCCGCGCGUAGCAGUGAAAUGCGUAGAUAUGCGGAGGAACACCGAUGGCGGAGGCAAUCCCCUGGACCUGUACUGACGCUCAUGCACGUAAGCGUGGGAGCAAACAGGAUUAGAUACCCCCGUAGUCCCUGUCUCUUAUACA